rnacentral:sRNA from 1 species
CAAAAGAGAACCUAAAAUUUGUACUCAGUCAUCCUCAGGCUCUUGUUCAAUGUGAGAUGAUGCUUACUGAUUUAGCUGUUACCAACAUUGGUGUAGAUGAUACUGCUGCAGCUGCUAAGGCUGUGGCCUUAGACGGAAGAAGAGACAUUGGAGCUAUUGCGAGUUCAAGGGCAGCAAAACUAUAUGGCCUCCACAUUCUAGCCGAAGGAAUCCAGG